rnacentral:rRNA from 1 species
GACGAACGCUGGCGGCGUGCCUAAUACAUGCAAGUUGAGCGCUGAAGGUUGGUACUUGUACCAACUGGAUGAGCAGCGAACGGGUGAGUAACGCGUGGGGAAUCUGCCUUUGAGCGGGGGACAACAUUUGGAAACGAAUGCUAAUACCGCAUAAAAACUUUAAACACAAGUUUUAAGUUUUAAAGAUGCAAUUGCAUCACCCAAAGAUGAUCCCGCGUUGUAUUAGCUAGUUGGUGAGGUAAAGGCUCACCAAGGCGAUGAUACAUAGCCGACCUGAGAGGGUGAUCGGCCAAAUUGGGAAUGAGACAAGGCCCAAACUCCUACGGGAGGCAGCAGUAGGGAAACAUCGGAAAUGGACGAAAGUCUGAACGAGCAACGCCGCGUGAGGGAAGAAGGUUGUCGGAUCGUAAAAAUCGGUUGGUAGAGAAGAAAGUUGGUGAGAGUGGAAAGCUCAUAAAGUGACGGUAACUACCCAGAAAGGGACGGCUAACUACGUG